rnacentral:rRNA from 1 species
CACGUAGGGCGCAAGCGUUGUCCGGAAUUAUUGGGCGUAAAGAGCUCGUAGGCGGACUGUCACGUCUGCUGUGAAAAGCUGGGGCUUAACCCUGGCCUUGCAGUGGAUACGGGCAGACUAGAGGUAGGUAGGGGAGAAUGGAAUUCCCGGUGUAGCGGUGAAAUGCGCAGAUAUCGGGAGGAACACCGGUGGCGAAGGCGACUCUUGGCCUGUAACUGACGCUGAGGCGCGAAAGCGUGGGGAG